rnacentral:lncRNA from 1 species
CCAACUACCAGUAUUCACAUAAUGUUCGACUUACUAGUUUCAGAUGUGAAUGAAAAUAAAAAAUUCCAUGUGAACUCAGUACUGUUUAACAAAUUUUGAGCCAUUUGCAGAAUAAUUAACUAGUAAAUGAAGAUUUACAAAUCUUAUCUUAUGAAAUAAUGAACAAGAUUAAUCUAAACUACUAAAAACAAAAUAAACAUCAGAUUGUAGCCCUCCAUAAAGCUGCAAGCUCUUCCCAUAUAGGAGUGAUAUCAAUAUAGCUUCCAACUGUCACAGAUCUGAUUGGGACUCAGGGAUGAGUGGUGGUUUUGUUGUUAUAUUUUGGUGGUAGUUUGAUCUCCGCAGCCGGUCGGGGAUAGUGAAGAAAUUCAGGGUGGCGGGUCUAGGGUUCUUGACUUUGAGAGGUGAAGGAAGUGAAGUGGAGAUGGUACUAUGUUCUCCGAGAACACUUGGACAACUUCAAACGAGAAUGGAGAAAUAUUUAGGGCCCUUGGAUGAAAUAAGAUGAAAU